rnacentral:rRNA from 1 species
GACGAACGUUGGCGGCGUGCUUAACACAUGCAAGUCGAACGGAAAGGCCCUGCUUUUGUGGGGUGCUCGAGUGGCGAACGGGUGAGUAACACGUGAGUAACCUGCCCUUGACUUUGGGAUAACUUCAGGAAACUGGGGCUAAUACCGGAUAGGAGCUCCUGCUGCAUGGUGGGGGUUGGAAAGUUUCGGCGGUUGGGGAUGGACUCGCGGCUUAUCAGCUUGUUGGUGGGGUAGUGGCUUACCAAGGCUUUGACGGGUAGCCGGCCUGAGAGGGUGACCGGCCACAUUGGGACUGAGAUACGGCCCAGACUCCUACGGGAGGCAGCAGUGGGGAAUAUUGCACAAUGGGCGGAAGCCUGAUGCAGCAACGCCGCGUGCGGGAUGACGGCCUUCGGGUUGUAAACCGCUUUCGCCUGUGACGAAGCGUGAGUGACGGUAAUGGGUAAAGAAGCACCGGCUAACUACGUGCCAGCAGCCGCGGUGAUACGUAGGGUGCGAGCGUUGUCCGGAUUUAUUGGGCGUAAAGGGCUCGUAGGUGGUUGAUCGCGUCGGAAGUGUAAUCUUGGGGCUUAACCCUGAGCGUGCUUUCGAUACGGGUUGACUUGAGGAAGGUAGGGGAGAAUGGAAUUCCUGGUGGAGCGGUGGAAUGCGCAGAUAUCAGGAGGAACACCAGUGGCGAAGGCGGUUCUUUGGGCCUUUCCUGACGCUGAGGAGCGAAAGCGUGGGGAGCGAACAGGCUUAGAUACCCUGGUAGUCCACGCUGUAAACGGUGGGUACUAGGUGUGGGGUCCAUUCCACGGGUUCCGUGCCGUAGCUAACGCUUUAAGUACCCCGCCUGGGGAGUACGGCCGCAAGGCUAAAACUCAAAGGAAUUGACGGGGCCCCGCACAAGCGGCGGAGCAUGCGGAUUAAUUCGAUGCAACGCGUAGAACCUUACCUGGGUUUGACAUGGAUCGGGAGUGCUCAGAGAUGGGUGUGCCUCUUUUGGGGUCGGUUCACAGGUGGUGCAUGCCUGUCGUCAGCUCGUGUCGUGAGAUGUUGGGUUAAGUCCCGCAACGAGCGCAACCCUUGUUCACUGUUGCCAGCACGUUAUGGUGGGGACUCAGUGGAGACCGCCGGGGUCAACUCGGAGGAAGGUGGGGAUGACGUCAAGUCAUCAUGCCCCUUAUGUCCAGGGCUUCACGCAUGCUACAAUGGCUGGUACAGAGAGUGGCGAGCCUGUGAGGGUGAGCGAAUCUCGGAAAGCCGGUCCCAGUUCGGAUUGGGGUCUGCAACUCGACCUCAUGAAGUCGGAGUCGCUAGUAAUCGCAGAUCAGCAACGCUGCGGUGAAUACGUUCCCGGG